rnacentral:rRNA from 2 species
CCUACGGGAGGCAGCAGUGAGGAAUAUUGGACAAUGGGUGAGAGCCUGAUCCAGCCAUCCCGCGUGAAGGACGACGGCCCUAUGGGUUGUAAACUUCUUUUGUAUAGGGAUAAACCUAGAUACGUGUAUCUAGCUGAAGGUACUAUACGAAUAAGCACCGGCUAACUCCGUGCCAGCAGCCGCGGUAAU